rnacentral:lncRNA from 10 species
AUCGUAACAAAUUGCUGGGCCCCACCACUGGGAGAUGGGAGGCUUGUGCAUGGAUCCUGCCUAUGUGGGGACCUUUUGAUACUUAUCUGCAUCUAUCACUUAGAAGAUAUGACUUUCCUACCUGCACCCUGCCCACAAGGAAGAUUGGGAACUAUCACUAGGCCAUGCGUCCAGGUUAUGUAACUCGGCUGCCCGUGUUCUGCUUUCAGGAGGGAAUUGUCACAAUCUCUUCUACAGGCAAUGCCCAG